rnacentral:rRNA from 1 species
UACGGGGGGGGGCAAGCGUUGUUCGGAAUUAUUGGGCGUAAAGAGCUCGUAGGCGGUUUGUCGCGUCUGCUGUGAAAACCUAAGGCUCAACCUUGGGCUUGCAGUGGGUACGGGCAGACUAGAGUGCGGUAGGGGUGACUGGAAUUCCUGGUGUAGCGGUGGAAUGCGCAGAUAUCAGGAGGAACACCGAUGGCGAAGGCAGGUCACUGGGCCGCAACUGACGCUGAGGAGCGAAAGCAUGGGGAGCGAACAGG